AGAGAAUAGGGCAUGGGUACU
rnacentral:miRNA from 1 species